rnacentral:lncRNA from 1 species
GUCCAGUAUUAAGGUUGGCCUUCGGGCUGUGGGUACAAAAAUCUAUAUUAAUUGUUAAAAAUGCAAAGAAAUCAUAAAUAUGAUUCAUGCAUAGACACCUUGCUGGAGAGGACAAUCUGAUAGAGAUGGAAAAGAGGUGUGAAGGAGGGAUUCUCCUGGCUGUCAUUUUCAUCGCCAAGGGUGCUAGUAUAGGGAGGAUAUGGAGGAGGUACUCGUGCUCACCGCAGGUGACCAUCCCCGACCGGCCAUGAAUCAUCUCCUCGCAGUGUGAUGGAACUGACCAUCCCCAACCGGCCAUGAAUCGUCCUCGCAGGUGAUCGUCCGCGACCAGCCAUGGAUCAUCCUCGUAGUGCGAUGGAACUAACCAUAUACGAAUGAAUUGAAGUAGCUAGAAAAUAAAACUAAAGAUAUUUUUAAAAGAAAUAAUAAUAAGUAAGAAGAAUGGUGUCAAGGGAGGGAGGCUGGAUCUAAUGUGCAGCGGAGGACUGAUCAUUAUGUAUAUACUUUGGCUGUGUUAAACAGUAGAAAUAUUUAAACGUUUGACCAAUUUUUGCCAUGUUAAACAGUACAUAAAUAUGACAUAUGAGCAUGUGCGGUGAACUGCUCACCUGUAUAUAUUUUGGCUGUUCAGCAUUGAGAAGAUGACACUGAUCCAAAAUGAUUAUAUCAAUUUAGCAUCAUUUGUUCAGACGAUGCCGAAAUAUUGUGAGUAUAGAAAUAAGACAAAUAUGACAUACAGUACACUAAAUGACGCCUUGAAUUUCAUAGAAGUCUGUUGGCCAAGUAAUCAACAACGAAAUUCUAAAAUCAACCAAGAAUUCUACCCUGCACUCAAAUCUUCAGUUGACCAAAUUAUAUAUAUCAAGAUGAGAAUAAUGUACCAUGAUGCAAAAAAAAGAUGGAACCAAUAUGCUACAGGAAGUUACUGAAACAACAAAGCAAAUAUGAAUUAUAUCACCUAGAGUGGUCAUCAACGGUGGCAGCAGCUUUUCCUUCAGCGCACUUGGUAAUAUAGCAGACAAUCUA